rnacentral:miRNA from 1 species
AGAGGCUGGCACUGGGACACAC